rnacentral:rRNA from 1 species
GCAUAACGCGAAGAACCUUACCAAGGCUUGACAUGCAUCUCUAAGCGCGUGAAAGCGCGUGACCCUUCGGGGGAUUUGCACAGGUGCUGCAUGGCCGUCGUCAGCUCGUGUCGUGAGAUGUUGGGUUAAGUCCCGCAACGAGCGCAACCCUUGUGACUAGUUGCCAGCACGUUAUGGUGGGAACUCUAGUCAGACUGCCCAGAUCAACUGGGAGGAAGGUGGGGACGACGUCAGGUCAGUAUGGCCCUUACGCCUAGGGCUGCACACGUACUACAAUGCCCAGCACAAUGAGAACCGAGACCGCGAGGUGGAGGAAAUCUAAAAAACUGGGCCCAGUUCGGAUUGGAGGCUGCAACUCGCCUCCAUGAAGUUGGAAUCGCUAGUAAUGGCGCAUCAGCUACGGCGCCGUGAAUACGUUCCCGGGUCUUGUACACACCG